rnacentral:rRNA from 1 species
GACGAACGCUGGCGGCGUGCUUAACACAUGCAAGUCGAACGGAAAGGCCCUGCUUUUGUGGGGUGCUCGAGUGGCGAACGGGUGAGUAACACGUGAGUAACCUGCCCUUGACUUUGGGAUAACUUCAGGAAACUGGGGCUAAUACCGUAUAGGAGCUCCUGCUGCAUGGUGGGGGUUGGAACGUUUCGGCGUUUGGGGAUGGACUCGCGGCUUAUCAGCUUGUUGGUGGGGUAGUGGCUUACCAAGGCUUUGACGGGUAGCCGGCCUGAGAGGGUGACCGGCCACAUUGGGACUGAGAGACGGCGCAGACUCCUACGGGAGGCAGCAGGGGGGAAUAUUGCACAAUGGGCGGAAGCCUGAUGCAGCAACGCCGCGUGCGGGAUGACGGCCUUCGGGUUGUAAACCGCUUUCGCCUGUGACGAAGCGGGAGUGACGGUAAUGGGUAAAGAAGCACCGGCUAACUACGUG